AGAAACUUAACUCUGUACAACUGGAAAUUGAUUCGGUGAAGCAUUGUGCAGAGG
rfam:Robinsoniella sp. RHS robin_c210, whole genome shotgun sequence.